rnacentral:lncRNA from 1 species
AUGUAUCGGCUUGUUGUUUUAAUCAUACUUUUGCUGAUUGUGAGUAUCUCUCUGAAGAAGGAAUGUAAAGAGAAAUAUCUAAUUACACCACUUAUAUCAGAAUGGCAAAGCAUAUAUUUAUCUUGUUUGUUAAUUACAUAUGUCACAGCUGAAGACCAAACAUUAGCUAAUGUCGACAUUAGCCAGAAGGGUCUGGUAAACAUCAAGAGUGGGGUGGGUGACAAAUACAAAACAAUGCAGCAAGUGGGAAGGCUGUAUGCUUUUGAUGGACUUAUAGUCCCUCAAAAUUGCUUUGUUCUUUGUUUUAGCCAGUUAUGUUCUAGCAUCCAGUGUUCCCGUCUCUGGCCUCUACAAGCUGUACUUCUCGGCAGAAUCACCACUACUGGUAGCCUUCAGAAGCACCUCUCAGCCUGUGGUCAGGUUUAUACAGCUUUGAGGCAGACACCAAGGAUCUUUCCAAGGAUUCGAUCUCUUCUCUCUAGCUCUCUUUCCCAGUCCAGCCAUCCCUGCCACCGUCUGAGAGCUUCCUCCCCUUUGUCCAGAGAUUAGCAAUAAGCAGCUGGAGGACCAGACCCCCUCUUCAUGUUCAGGACGACCCCUGGCCACGGUCACUGCCUCCAUGACCUCCAUCCCAACUGUCAUCUGGGAAUUUACACUCUUGAAAUUGCUGACGUUUCCUGUCUGGGCCACCUCUUGAGCAAGAGGAUUUCCUGUGUUAUUCCUCAAUAGCAAGAAACAGUAUUUUUUGAAAAAAUUUCAUUUUCAAAACUCUAAGAGGUGCUUGCCUUUUAAAUUUAUUUUUAAAGAUUUGUUUGUUUAUUUGAGAGUCAGAGCUAUGGGGGUUGGGGGGGAGAGAGAAGGAAAGAGAGAGAAAGAUUUUCCAUUUGCUGGUUCACUCUCCAGAUGGCUACAAUGGCCGGAGCUGAGCCAGGCUGGAGCCAGGAGUCAGAAGCUUCUUCUGGGUCUCCCACACAGGUGACAGGGGCCAAGUACUCGAGCCAUCUUCUAUUGCUUCUCCCAGGCUACUAGCAGGGAGCAGGAUCAGAAGUGGAACAACCAGGAUACAAAUCGGUGCCUUUUGGGAUGCUAGAGUUGCAGGUAGUGGCUUUACCCUCUACACCACAACACAGACCUCGAGGUGCAUGCCUUAAGUCUUGGUAUUUCUGCGACUGGGAAGGGAAUUCCAGAUGCCUUCCAUGUGAUGCUUCCUUUUCUAAAAAUGUCAACAUUAC